rnacentral:lncRNA from 1 species
AAGAAAUUAAAAGGAUUUGAGUUAUUACCAUAUGUUUUUUGGGGGGAUUUAAGAUAAUAAAAGAUUGCAAAAUUAUUCAAUUCAUAUUGUAGAGGUUCUUGACAGAACAAAACAGAUCAUUUUGAGACUUUCUUUUGAACACAGUGGUUCGAAAAUAUCAAAAUAACAUUUGAAAUUUGCCGCAAGAAUUCAUCAAGUGUUUUUAAAGUAUAAAACAGCAGUGUUUAUGGGAUAGAUGCCAUUUCAACAGUCUGACCAGUGGUCAAAGAAGGCAAUUAUUAAAAACAGCCUGAAACAUCAUGUCCCUUUCUGUACAAAGAAAAAAAAAAUAAAUGAACACAAAAUGGCUACAAUUAAAACAAAAACACAACAAAUGUUAGCACAAAUUAUAUACAAACAAAAAACUUUGGUAAAAAGAGAAAAAAACAAAGUCAUUCAAAAAGAAAUAUAUAAAAAAUAACAAACGAUUGUAACAAAAUAAAACCAGGACUCGUGAACUUCUCAACUGGUGCUUAAUAAAUUUGGGACUAGAGAUUCUGCACCGCUUUGAACACCAUGCUGCAGUCAGUAAAUAAAGGUCCACAUAUAUAGUAUCAGCUGCUUCUUGGAACUUACAUAUAAGUAAUCAAAAUAAAAAUUACUUUAGCAUUAUCAGAUAUUGAAUGAAAAUUCUAAACAUUCUCUAUAAAUAACUGUUUUGAAUUAGUUUAACAAAUUUUAAAAGGAAUAUUUUCAUCAGUAAAUGUUUGUACUGUACAUGCAUGCUGAUAUCAUAUGGAUGGUUUACAUGUUGUUGAAAAUAUACUUUAACAAAAGCAUAUAUGUUAAUGAACCCUAUUUUGACUUGCAUAAGAACACAUAGAUGAACACAACAGAUUAAUAGAACACAUGAGCUUUAAUUUGUAGUUCAAAAUAAUAAUACUGGUAAAAAAAAACUACAAACUAAAAAAUAUACGAAUAUACAUAAGCUGUCCUUUAUCUGUGCUAUGACAAUCUGGAUGGAAGGAUUAGCACCUACUAAAAAAUCCUUAAUUUAUGCAUAAGUCAGCACCUUUUUGUUAUAAAUGAUGAUGAUGAAAAAUGCUGCCUCAUCUGUUAUUGUAAUUCAUGAUGGAGAUAAAAGAUAAAUGAUUAAGUAAACUGCAAAAUACAUUCAUUUCUAUUAGUUCAGGUAAAAGGAUAAAAUAAUACACCCACUUCUAUUGGUUUAGGUAAGAGGGUAAAAUAAUACACUCAUUUCUAUUGGUUUCUGAAAAGGAUAAAAUAAUACACUCAUUUCUAUUGGUUUCUGAAAAGGAUAAAAUAAUACACUCAUUUCUAUUGGUUUCUGUAACAGGAUAAAAUAACACACUCAUUUCUAUUAACUUUUUAGACUUAAUUUUGCUAAAAGUAUUUCUUUUCAAAAGGUUCAUAUGCACAAGGAUCAGAAAUUUAUGAAACAUAUUUUUGGAAUGUGGGCUUUUAACAACGAGUGGUUAAUGGCCGUAUAAAAAAACAUAGAACUGACCUUGAAUUUAACAUUAAUAACCGUUAAGACAUAGAAUUCAAAAUUUACUUUCUAGGUGGCUUAAUUGAAAAUAACAUUGUGCUAUAUUACAAUUCCAAAAAAAUAUUGCUAGGAAUUUUAAAUAUGAUUCAUAAAAUGCUAAUAGUUAAAUAUGAAAGUAUUUUGCAGAAAACUUUUUAAAGGCAAUUUAACACAACAAAGACUUGGAAUGUUUGGGCAUUGCUAAAGAAAGGUGAUCCGCUUUAAGGCAAAAGUUACAGGGGAAUAUAGAAGUAAGAACACAUUCAAAACAAAAGCUUCUGUAAAACAUGGCACUUUUGUUGGUAAAUAUUUUUUUAGCUUGUAAAGUAUUCUAUACACUUAUGUCAUCUAAGUGGCAAAAAUAAAGCAUUUAAUGGUCCGUCUAAGUUUAAACAUUGAAACAAUGUAAUUACUUUCAAAAGUUAUAUAAACUUAAUUUGCUUUUUCAAUUUUUUGUCUGUCUCACUUCAACACAAUAAAUAGCUAAACAGACUCCUAGUCUAUCAUGUUCAAAUUUAUAAAAGUCUAUUCUUCCAAGAGAUCUUAAAACAUUUUAACUGAAAGUGUAAUAUUUGCCACUGACAUGACACAAGCAUAAUAGUUCAUAUUAUGACACAAAAAUUCAUUAUAUUAUCAGCAGUGGAAUUCUCAAAGAUUUGUGGAAGAUUUUUAUAAAAAAAUAAUAACAACCUAUUAACAAUCGGAAUGUGUUGACAACUUAU